UGAAGGCCGCUCUCCAGAUAAGGGGGAGGAAGGACACAAAAGAGCAUCCUCUGCGACAGCCAGGCGUCUCCUCAGAGCUCGGGAAGAAUGGCGUCAUUGUGCCUCGCUCUCAGCGGUGCUCCAGGCUUUGGAUCUUCUAGGAGCUCCCUCUGGUCAGCCACGGCCGGGUCUGGAGUUCUUCUCCAUGCAACCUCCCUGAUCACACAAAGCCGCCCGGGCCCAGAGCGGGUACUCUGCGCAGCACUCAGGCCCAGGGAGAGUCCUGGGAAGGGGUGGCAGAAAACUGGAGUAAGAAAUGGGAAGAGAGAGAGUCUAGGACCCCAGAGCGGUCCUCAAGACACUGGCAGGUGCAGAAGGAAAAGGCCUGGUCUGGCAGGUGUUAAGAAAAUACCUAAACCCUCAGGCAGUGGGCGCUGCAGUCCCCUCAACUCCCUCAUCCUGCGCUUGAGUUUCCCAGUGGUCUUCUGAGUGGUCUCUGUGCUUCCAGUCCUUCGGCCCAAGCCCAGCCUGAUCUCAGCAUGUGCAAUGCACAUUCUGGUCACUGCAGACCUUCGCAGCAGACCUCCCGAGUCCCACAGGAUUUUCCCUGACAGCCCUCACCCAGAGCCUGCAAGUUCUCGCUCAGUGAGGGGUCCCCUGCCGAGAGCAGCCCUGCACUCAGCCCCUGGGACUCUCGCCCACUCCCCGUCCUCACCCCGGCCACCUGCACUGGGUGUUUGUAACCAGGACUGUGCCACACAGCGGCAUCUUAGGGGAAAACGGCUAAAUGAAGAAGUCAUGUCCGGCAAAUACUGCUCCAGAAACUGCUGUUUGGUGAUAUAUUCCUCCUCUGGGCCUGCAAGUUUGAAAGACACUGAUUUUUAAGAACAUCACAGUUUCUUAGAUCAUCAAAGAAAACAAAAGUAUGUCCAGUUUUCUACUGUGUGAGGACCGACUCCACUUCUCCGUUGGGCUGAACCUGGAGUAUAUAAGCUUGAAUCCCCCUCAGUCCCUUGGGCUUAGAUGAAACAUCAGAUUUAGAAACUGCCUGUCACAAUCUAACCAAUGUUCUCCCUGCUCCCUUAGCAGCGUGGGUGGGUUGUUACCAGUCGCUGGAUGGUCUCUCUCCCAGAAGAAACUGCUUCUGUUUCUACUUUUGCUGCCACAGGAGAAAGCCUGCCCUGGAAGCUGUCCACGCCUGCUGCCCACAGUGAUGUCCCCAAGCAGAGGUUAGUGUGUGCGGCAGGCAGGACCUGGGCAUCGGUGUAUUCCCCAGAGUGCAGCCUGUACUCACCGUCUUCCUGGGCAGAAACAAAAGCUCCCUUACAUUUUGAAGAAAGAGAUCAUGCCUGUGUUUUUCACAUGUUCAUAUGAUUUGUUUAGGAAGCCGGUCCUGGCACCUGGGAACAACGUGUGAUUCUGUUUACCUCUUGGCACUGUGACAGUGGCAUUCAGAUCUCACCUGCACCUCCGGAGCGACCUCCCAGAGCCCAGCACCCAGUCCUCCCUGUGCUGAGCAGCACACAGCAAGGCAAGGCCCCGACUGCUCUGUCAGGCCAACUUAAUAAAAAGUUAACAGGAAAACUCCGCUUCAUGAAAAUCCCUAUGGAUAGCCACUCGGAUUGGCUGAGGCCCUGGAAACAUCCACUUGAAAAACAGCCUUAAUUACUUAGAACUGUCAUUAAAAGUUCAGUUUGCAAAUUCUUUUCUCAGAUUAGGCAACAGAUCAGGCCCGACUGGAAUAUAAACACGUGCUUCUCUGGAGUCAUCCGCAUUUCCACAGGCAAGAACGCUUUGCUCUAGUGGGGUAGCCACUGCCUGAGACUUUGGAAGUCAUUUUUUGGGGCGCUCAGUGGGUGAAGCUUUCCCAAACUGUGGACCCUGAUGUUCUUGCACACAUUUUAGAAACUGGCGUGGUGACUGACAGUUUCACUGCAGAGUGCUCCUCGUGUUCCGUUUGCGCUGUAGUUCCUCCCUGCAGUAACCACACGGACUCAGCUGCCGGCCACACACCCUCAUCCCAGGCGGCGUCAACCCCAGCUCUUAUCCCUGAAGAUGGGGGCUUGGCUCGGGUGCCCAGAGCGUUACCCGUCCUUCCUCAGAAAUGCCCCUUGCGCUCAGACCCGCCAGCCCGGCUCACGGUCUCUCCCUGGACCACGGCCACGCCUCCUCCGUGCCAGCCCUCGUCCCUGCUUCCUCUGUGCCAUCUCUGUACAAAUGCACCCCAGCUCCACUGUGAAGCGGCCCCUCCUGUGGGUGAAGGAAAACUCCCUAGGAAGUCGCCUCUGGGUGCUCAGCCCUGCCGGGAUUCCCUGCUCACCCUUCAGAGGAAAGCUGUUUCCGCACUCACGCCCUUGCUGGCCAGGAAAACACGUUUCCGUCCUCAAGACCAGAGACUGAACUCGAGUGCGCUCGGAGGGGCCUGUGCCGAAGUCUGUCAGUUUCCGGCCCCUUCCCCCGCUUGAUCACAGCACUUCCCACACUGUGCCUGGACUGUCCAGGAGCUGCGUGGGUGCACACCGGCUGCUCCUCAGCUGCUCCUGGGUCAUCCCUGGCCGGACCUGGGUAGAGCGGCUCUUCUGGUCCCCAUGCGGCUGAGCAGGCCAGUGACUGUUCUGGACGAUGAACUGGAGCAGAGGUGAGCGUCCCCUCUAGGGUCUGACACUGACUGAUCCACGUGAGACUCUGGAGAAGCCUUUUCCCUUCCACGUGGUGACUGGCAGUGCUCUGGGCUAACGCUGAACCUUUUCUAAUUCUGGGAACGAGAAGUCGGGUUGUGUGUUCCUGCAGCCAACCCUUCCUGACACGCGUGUCACUCCCAUGGACAGUGAGCUCCUCAGCGGGGAUCCUCUGGGCCCCCUGUGGCCUUGCAGGUGCAUGGCGGUGUUCAGGGAAGUCUGCUGAAUGAAUGCAAACAGAAAUACAGUAUCUAUCGUCUGUGAGAUAGAGGACCGUUAAUAAAAUACAGUGUGUCCAUGCCUGUCAGAAGUAAUAGCCACCUGAGAAAUGAACUUCAAUAUUUAGAGCUGAUCUCUUUGUGAAUAGCUUUCAUGUUUUAGUCUAGUUUUGUGUUGUGGUUGUGGACUUUGCAGUACCAGGAGAAGGGUGUGUUAGCGAAGGCCCUGAGGCAGCCUUUCCUCACUUGUAAACGUCUGCGUGGCCGAACCAUCGGUCCAGAUGGAGCGAGCACUGUUUAGAAAAUCUCCCUCGGCACUGUGAGUGCCCCGCUCAGCGGCCCCAGCGUGAGCUGGAAGCCUGUGCUGUCCCGGGGUGCUGGCUUCGAAUGUCUGCCCGGGAAGCCCACCGGAACCGAAGGACGCCUGUUUCCAAGCAGCUUGUUACCGAGACGCUUUUUCAGAGAUGGACAGUGCAGCAGAGCCGCCCUGAGCCAGCUGAGGGUUUGCCUUCAGUGGCCGGAGCCUGGUGGGGGCCACACGAGUCAUCACUGGCGUUGGGAGCUGCCUGCUCCAUCUUCCUGGCGGAGGCUCGACGUUAGGAAACCGUGACUAAUGGCAGGGAGCAGGAACCCGUGGGGCUUGUCUGGCUGGGGAGAGCUCCCAGGGGAUCUGUGUAGAAGCCAGCGAAAAGUGAAAUGUGGCCCGACUGGACAAGAUAAGAUAGGAACAAGUGAGGUGGGCAGUCGCUGGAGGGGGGCAGACAGAGCCGAGGGACUCCCGGAAGGAGCGGCGGUGACUAUUAGCAUCCCGAUCGCUGCUUCAUUGCUUUGGAGCAUGCACAGCUUGGGAUUCUCCAGACCCGUCAUCCCGGCUGGGUUCCAAAGCUUUUUGCAAGCGAGGAAACUUCUCUCCACGUGGCCUCUGCCCACAAGGAGGGGAAUGGGAGGCCUGCGCUCAGCAGAGGGUUGGCCUGGAAUCAGUUACCUGGUGGGGUUCUACCACCACCAGGUGUGUGGCCGUGAAGCGCCGCCCUCACUGGGUCUCGGCUUCCGCACCUGUGAACCGCUGUGCUUGGAUCACAGCAGAGGGCACGAGGACUCGGUGGGGACACGCACGCGAGACUUAACGUCUUGCUGAGCACACACUGCACUCCCCAGGAGGAGUUCGGGGUAACCGGCUCUCAGACACAUCACGAAUCCCUCGCCUGAAAUCGGGUCUGCUCCCGAGAUCGCUCAGAGUCAGGGUAACCAUCGUGAAGAGCUGCGUCUGGGCCUUUGAAAUGAAGAGUCCUUCCACCUGACACCCUCUGCGGAAAGAGGCAGGCUAGGGCUGCGUCCCUCUGAGCAUGUUUGGCUCCCUGCGCUCGCCUGGAGUUCUGUGCAGUUCCGCACCACAGCCUUGUUGAGUAACCCAGGAACGCACGCCUGAUCUGUGCUGCUCAUGAUGGGCCUCCUCGUCCUGCUGUGGGACUCUGGGCACCAGGACAGCAUCAGGGAGUCAGAGGUAGGAGCCUCAUUUGUUUUUUCCUGGCCUUCACAAAUCCCCCAGCAGGUAUGGGCACACCUGUCAGCCCCAGGGCUUUCCCAACUCUGGGAGGCUUAGGAGCAUCAUAAACACCCUCUCUCCCACACUUCCUCCUGAGGGGCUUGAAACCACGGGGCUCCAAGGGAGUUGGGCUUCCAGCAAGAUCUGCCCAGGCCUCAGCUUGAACGCGCUGAGAGAGGGAGACCUGCAUGAAGCCAAAGUGGCGCCUUUCCCCCUGGAAAUGGGUUUCUGAAAUCUGAGCGUCGCUGUGUGGGCGUUCCUUGGGGUGAAGUUUCUGGUAGGUGCCAGCACGCCUUUUGAGGUUCCUAACGAUGGAAAUCCUGGCUAAUUCAGCCGAGUCACAGGACCCCAGCCGGCAGGUAGUUCACUGACGUCGCUCAGAGUUGGCAUGAGUAAGGGUUGCACGAGUGUUUAGGGCUAACUGCCUUGGUCCCAGAAGGUACACUGAGUCGUUGGGACCCGUGUUCAAGCAUGUGCAUCCAAAUUGUCAUGUGCCGUGUACACUGAGUCGUUGGGACCCGUGUUCAAGCAUGUGCAUCCAAAUUGUCAUGUGCCGUGCAGUAUUCCACCAAGAGAACUUGAACUGUUUAGGUAUCCUCACAGUCUAAAGCCACAUGGAAGCAGUUUGGGGCUGGUCAGAGCCCCACAGAAAGCCAUCAGAGACAUUUUUGUGGAUAGAAGCUGUUCCUUUUCGGUGGAGAUAAUUGGCAGUAAUGCUGACUUUCUGCACA